rnacentral:lncRNA from 1 species
GCUUCGUUGCAUACCCUAUAUAUCAUCUUUUGUAUUUGAUGAUUUUAGUAUUAUGAACGAUGUAAAAGAGCUUAUUUUUAAAUGUAAAAGCUUAAGUUUUUGGAUGAAAACAUGUUAUGUAAUUUUGGGAGAUCAUGUGAUGUAAAAAGAAGUGAUGAAAAGAAUGUAAAUGUAACAUGUGGUUGAAAGCAUGUAAGUGAUUAAAAGUUAAUUAUUGUACUUGUAUAAUGUGUAGUUUAGUACUCUCACUUUAGGCUAUUGCUUGCCCUCGUGCAAGCCAUGUAUAUCUUUGUUCCGUUGUGUAGAAUUCAUAUAUACAUGAUUUAUAC